AGAGUUUGAUCCUGGCUCAGAUUGAACGCUGGCGGCAUGCCUAACACAUGCAAGUCGAACGGCAGCGCGGGGAGCUUGCUCCCUGGCGGCGAGUGGCGGACGGGUGAGUAAUACGUAGGAAUUUGCCCUAAAGUGGGGGAUAACUCGAGGAAACUCGGGCUAAUACCGCAUAAGCUCUACGGAGUAAAGUCGGGGACCUUCGGGCCUGACGCUUUAGGAUGAGCCUACGUCAGAUUAGCUUGUUGGUGGGGUAAUGGCCUACCAAGGCUACGAUCUGUAGCUGGUCUGAGAGGACGAUCAGCCACACUGGGACUGAGACACGGCCCAGACUCCUACGGGAGGCAGCAGUGGGGAAUAUUGGACAAUGGGGGCAACCCUGAUCCAGCAAUGCCGCGUGUGUGAAGAAGGCCUUCGGGUUGUAAAGCACUUUCAGUAGUGAGGAGAGCCUCAGGAUUAAUACCCCUGAGGGGCGACGUUAACUACAGAAGAAGCACCGGCUAACUCUGUGCCAGCAGCCGCGGUAAUACAGAGGGUGCAAGCGUUAAUCGGAAUUACUGGGCGUAAAGCGCACGUAGGCGGGUAUUUAAGUCGGAUGUGAAAGCCCCGGGCUCAACCUGGGAACUGCAUUCGAUACUGGGUACCUAG
rnacentral:rRNA from 1 species